AUGAGCUCACCUUGCCAGUGGACGAGAGACCAUGAAAAAACCACAGUGGAAUUAGCAUCACUGGGGUCUGUAAGAGUGCCCAAGAAGUCACGUAACUACCAUUCACCUGGAAAUGCUGCAGGAUGGACAGAGAAGUGGAAGAAUGUGAAAGAAAAUCAGAAAGGCUGCUGCCAUCACUGGGGAAGAACCAACUUCAGAGCCUGUGAUGAAGAGCUGGUGUUUUCUGAUGAGCUAUUGGCGCAUUAG
rnacentral:lncRNA from 1 species